UCAAAGCGUGGGAGGCCACAAACAAAUGAUGAUGAAGAACAGCCUGCUAGAAAGAAACAGGCUAAAGGAAAGUGUAAUACCCAUUUUUUUUUCUUCUAUCUUUUUAAGUUAAUAUUUUGUUUUAAGAACGAGCGAGUGAUAGACCUUGAAUAAAAUACCGUGUUGUUUCGAUUGGUUGUGAAUGCUUGAAUUAUUGUUGAUUAAUUGUAUGGUGUAAGUUGUCGACGAGUUCGACAUGAGAGUCGUCGAUGGGAAAAUUUGGGCGUUCGUUUACAAUGUACUUGGAAUAACACCAAAGUACUAAAUUAAUAAAACACCACAAUUUAAUCAAUGUACUAAAAUUAUAUAUUUUUGGGCCUAUCACUUUUGUCUAUUUUUUUAGCCCAUUUAUCCUUAUUCAAUUGGACUAUUUUUAAUAUAGCCAUUUAUUCCUAAUUCCUAUUUCAUUCCUGCAGCCAACAUAAAUCUCUUCCUCUAAACCCUCCUACACGUUUUCUUUAUUCACCAAAACCUCUACUCCUAAAAUCUCUCCACCACUCCUUAAAAAUCUCCAACCAAAUACUCUAUUAACUCCAUUUAUACAUCUCCUCCCACAAUCUCAACAAACCGUCUGGAGGAGAAACCCAAAGAGUUGUUAUCUUUUCAAUACCUUCUCUUCUGCAAGUUCUGCUUCUUCCGUGAAGGGUGAACUUGUGCACGUUGUUGCGGUUUGGAACAGAAAGUGAUUAAGGAGUAAGCUUUUGAGAUUGAGCGGCGAUGGGCGUGGAGGAUGUUGAGCAGAGUUCAUGGAUUGUUCUGUCAUGAUUAAUAAUGUUGGAUUUGUCGUGUCUUCAUACUCGGCAUUUUCCGUGUCUUGAACGCUUCCGCUAUGAGUACUUUUCUUUAGAAUUGUUUAUUCGUGCAGAGUCUAACUCGUUUGAAAAUUGUUUAUUGUCCAUUCUUUAUUCACUUAGAGUUGGUAUUAUUGUUAGGAUAAUAUUAUGACGUUUUAAAAGUUAAUUCAAUUAUUAAAUUUUUGGUCAAA